rnacentral:rRNA from 1 species
CUUCAGGAAACUGGGGCUAUACCGGAUAGGAGCUCCUGCUGCAUGGUGGGGGUUGGAAAGUUUCGGCGGUUGGGGAUGGACUCGCGGCUUAUCAGCUUGUUGGUGGGGUAGUGGCUUACCAAGGCUUUGACGGGUAGCCGGCCUGAGAGGGUGACCGGCCACAUUGGGACUGAGAUACGGCCCAGACUCCUACGGGAGGCAGCAGUGGGGAAUAUUGCACAAUGGGCGGAAGCCUGAUGCAGCAACGCCGCGUGCGGGAUGACGGCCUUCGGGUUGUAAACCGCUUUCGCCUGUGACGAAGCGUGAGUGACGGUAAUGGGUAAAGAAGCACCGGCUAACUACGUGCCAGCAGCCGCGGUGAUACGUAGGGUGCGAGCGUUGUCCGGAUUUAUUGGGCGUAAAGGGCUCGUAGGUGGUUGAUCGCGUCGGAAGUGUAAUCUUGGGGCUUAACCCUGAGCGUGCUUUCGAUACGGGUUGACUUGAGGAAGGUAGGGGAGAAUGGAAUUCCUGGUGGAGCGGUGGAAUGCGCAGAUAUCAGGAGGAACACCAGUGGCGAAGGCGGUUCUCUGGGCCUUUCCUGACGCUGAGGAGCGAAAGCGUGGGGAGCGAACAGGCUUAGAUACCCUGGUAGUCCACGCUGUAAACGGUGGGUACUAGGUGUGGGGUCCAUUCCACGGGUUCCGUGCCGUAGCUAACGCUUUAAGUACCCCGCCUGGGGAGUACGGCCGCAAGGCUAAAACUCAAAGGAAUUGACGGGGCCCCGCACAAGCGGCGGAGCA